rnacentral:misc_RNA from 1 species
GGUAUCAAAAGAAAGCUCUCGGAAUAAGCUUUCCAACGCCACCUGAAUCACCUCGAUUGGACGUCAGAUGAAACCGGAAUCGCAUUGGAAAGUUGCUGCCCACUAUGCGCGCAUUGAUGGGGAAAACUCCUCCAUUUGCGCAACUGCUGGCGCUGCUCCGGCUAGCUCGCAGUUCGCCGGUGUCUCCUAGGGUGGGUGGACGCCUCACCAGCCGGCCAUGAUGGCUGGAGGCUCACCAGUCGAAAGAAAAAGGGAGGGGGAGGGAGA